CCCUGGGUGGCUCAGUCAGUUGAGCGCCUGACUCUGGCUCAGGUCAUGAUCUCACGGCUCGUGAGUUCCAGCCUCACAUCGGGCU
rfam:Felis catus isolate Cinnamon breed Abyssinian chromosome B2, whole genome shotgun sequence.